rnacentral:snRNA from 1 species
GUGCUUGCUAUCGAUGUCCCAUAUACUAAAGUUGGAACAAUACUGAAAAGAUUAGCAUGGCCUUUGCAAAAUAUGUGGGCACUAGACAAGAAUAGUAGAACCACUCAUGG